GCUGUGCCUGGGCAGAAACCAUUGAAAUCCUCUCUCAGCAUCACAUCUCAUCUCCCCUGAACAGCUCCAGAACAGUUGGUAAAAGCUGCAGCUGCAGCUCUCUCUGGCCUGGUGGUCCAGGACGGUAUAUAAAACCACCCAUGAUUCAGACACCUUCCAGCAGGUUCUCGUGACUUCUCCUCGGUGAACAGAGUCUACAGCACAGCUAAACGAUGUCUUGUGAGAAAACCCUGUGCACAGAGCCAUGUGCUGCUGUAGGCAAUGUGAAAGGCCCCGAGCCCUGCGCUGCUGCCUGCAGUGAGC